AAAACUUUCAACAACGGAUCUCUUGGCUCUGGCAUCGAUGAAGAACGCAGCGAAAUGCGAUAAGUAAUGUGAAUUGCAGAAUUCCGUGAAUCAUCGAAUCUUUGAACGCACAUUGCGCCCUUUGGUAUUCCGAAGGGCAUGCCUGUUCGAGCGUCAUUA
rnacentral:rRNA from 1 species